UUCUCCUGGAAACGGGUGGUAAUGCCGGAUGCUCCGACUCCUCGCAUGGGGUGUCGGGAAAGAUUUCAUCGGUAUGGGAUGGGGUCGCGUCCUAUCAGGUAGUCGGCGGGGUAACGGCCCACCGAGCCUACGACGGGUAGCCGGCCUGAGAGGGCGACCGGCCACAUUGGGACUGAGAUACGGCCCAGACUCCUACGGGAGGCAGCAGUGGGGAAUAUUGCACAAUGGGCGCAAGCCUGAUGCAGCGACGCCGCGUGCGGGAUGACGGCCUUCGGGUUGUAAACCGCUUUUGAUCGGGAGCAAGCCUUCGGGUGAGUGUACCUUUCGAAUAAGCACCGGCUAACUACGUGCCAGCAGCCGCGGUAAUACGUAGGGUGCAAGCGUUAUCCGGAAUUAUUGGGCGUAAAGGGCUCGUAGGCGGUUCGUCGCGUCCGGUGUGAAAGUCCAUCGCUUAACGGUGGAUCUGCGCCGGGUACGGGCGGGCUGGAGUGCGGUAGGGGAGACUGGAAUUCCCGGUGUAACGGUGGAAUGUGUAGAUAU
rnacentral:rRNA from 1 species